rnacentral:rRNA from 1 species
GGGAAAAGCUCAAAUUUAAAAUCUGGCGGGUUCCCCGUCCGAGUUGUAAUCUGGAGAAGCGUUUUCCGUGUUGGACCGUGUACAAGUCUUUUGGAAUAAGGCGUCAUAGAGGGUGAGAAUCCCGUCCAUGACACGGACUACCAAUGCUAUGUGAUACGCUCUCAAAGAGUCGAGUUGUUUGGGAAUGCAGCUCAAAAUGGGUGGUAAAUUCCAUCUAAAGCUAAAUAUUGGCGAGAGACCGAUAGCGAACAAGUACCGUGAGGGAAAGAUGAAAAGCACUUUGGAAAGAGAGUUAAACAGUACGUGAAAUUGUUGAAAGGGAAACGCUUGAAGUCAGUCGCGUCUGUCGAGACUCAGCCUUGCCUUUGGGCCUGGUGUACUUCUCGGUUGACGGGUCAACAUCGAUUUUGAAUGACGGACAAAGGUCUGGGGAAUGUGGCACCUCCGGGUGUGUUAUAGCCUCUCUCCGUAUACGUUGUUUGGGAUCGAGGACCGCAGCGCGCCCUUGUGGCCGGGGUUUUACCCACGUACCGCGCUUAGGAUGUUGACAUAAUGGCUUUAAGCGAC